rnacentral:rRNA from 1 species
AUUGAACGCUGGCGGCAUGCCUUACACAUGCAAGUCGAACGGUAACAGGUCUUCGGAUGCUGACGAGUGGCGAACGGGUGAGUAAUACAUCGGAACGUGCCUAGUAGUGGGGGAUAACUACUCGAAAGAGUGGCUAAUACCGCAUGGGAUCUACGGAUGGAAGCAGGGGAUCGCAAGACCUUGUGCUACUAGAGCGGCCGAUGGCAGAUUAGGUAGUUGGUGGGAUAAAAGCUUACCAAGCCGACGAUCUGUAGCUGGUCUGAGAGGACGAUCAGCCACACUGGGACUGAGACACGGCCCAGACUCCUACGGGAGGCAGCAGUGGGGAAUUUUGGACAAUGGGCGAAAGCCUGAUCCAGCAAUGCCGCGUGCAGGAUGAAGGCCUUCGGGUUGUAAACUGCUUUUGUACGGAACGAAAAGCCCUGGGUUAAUACCCUGGGGUCAUGACGGUACCGUAAGAAUAAGCACCGGCUAACUACGUGCCAGCCGCCGCCGUAA